AGAGUUUGAUCCUGGCUCAGAACGAACGCUGGCGGCAGGCCUAACACAUGCAAGUCGAACGAGAAGCAUCCUUCGGGAUGUGGACAGUGGCAGACGGGUGAGUAACGCGUGGGAAUAUACCUAGAGGUACGGGACAACGCCGGGAAACUGGUGCUAAUACCGUAUAAGCCCUUCGGGGGAAAGAUUUAUCGCCUUUAGAUUAGCCCGCGUUAGAUUAGCUUGUUGGUGAGGUAAAAGCUCACCAAGGCGACGAUCUAUAGCUGGUCUGAGAGGAUGAUCAGCCACACUGGGACUGAGACACGGCCCAGACUCCUACGGGAGGCAGCAGUGGGGAAUCUUGCACAAUGGGCGAAAGCCUGAUGCAGCCAUGCCGCGUGAGUGAUGAAGGCCCUAGGGUUGUAAAACUCUUUCAGUGGGGAAGAUAAUGACGUACCCACAGAAGAAGCUCCGCUAACU
rnacentral:rRNA from 1 species